rnacentral:misc_RNA from 1 species
AAAAGAACAGACCAAUGAUCGCUGCUAAUUGAACCGAUUUCGGAACGCAUUGUCACUUGAUUCGACUUGUAACAAGGUAAUUUGGUUAAUGAGACUUGAAUAAAAACAAAGUAAUUUGGUUACUAACUAAGACUAAUCUCCGUCAAUAAAUACAAAAAAUUGGAAAAGCAACCAAUUCCGUUUGUUAAUGAAACAAGAUAUGCCAAACGUCAAUUAUUCAAGAUUGGUUAGAACGACAGUAUUAACAAAGAAAUAUUAAACAGUAAUUACUUUUACUAUUAAACAGUUAAUACUUAAUAUACUUAAUAUUAGAGAGAAAGUCCUAUAAACUUUGCCCUAAAGCUAACAACAUAUGAUUACAAAUUUUUAAUAAAAAUAUUUUGUUGGUA